rnacentral:rRNA from 1 species
UACGAAGGGGGCUAGCGUUGCUCGGAAUUACUGGGCGUAAAGGGCGCGUAGGCGGCACUGUUAGUCAGGCGUGAAAGUCCUGGGCUCAACCUGGGAACUGCGCUUGAUACGGCAGAGCUAGAGGAUGGAAGAGGCUCGCGGAAUUCCCAGUGUAGAGGUGAAAAUUCGUAGAUAUUGGGAAGAACACCGGUGGCGAAGGCGGCGAGCUGGUCCAUUACUGACGCUGAGGCGCGACAGCGUGGGGGAGCAAACAGG